rnacentral:rRNA from 1 species
GAUGAACGCUGGCGGCGUGCCUAAUACAUGCAAGUCGAGCGAACAGACGAGGAGCUUGCUCCUCUGACGUUAGCGGCGGACGGGUGAGUAACACGUGGAUAACCUACCUAUAAGACUGGGAUAACUUCGGGAAACCGGAGCUAAUACCGGAUAAUAUAUUGAACCGCAUGGUUCAAUAGUGAAAGACGGUUUUGCUGUCACUUAUAGAUGGAUCCGCGCCGCAUUAGCUAGUUGGUAAGGUAACGGCUUACCAAGGCAACGAUGCGUAGCCGACCUGAGAGGGUGAUCGGCCACACUGGAACUGAGACACGGUCCAGACUACUACGGGAGGCAGCAGUAGGGAAUCUUACGCAAUGGGCGAAAGCCUGACGGAGCAACGCCGCGUGAGUGAUGAAGGUCUUCGGAUCGUAAAACUCUGUUAUUAGGGAAGAACAAAUGUGUAAGUAACUAUGCACGUCUUGACGGUACCUAAUCAGAAAGCCACGGCUAACUACGUG